CUCCCUCUUCUCUUCUUUGGGUCAACCACUCAAGAUGGUCCAGGAAUGGCCAGCCCAGCCUCCUUUUCCCCGUCUCCUCCUCUGACCCGGACCGGCCCACCUCAGCCCCUUUCUUCCUCUCACCCGAUCGAGCCCAGACCAAUCCGCCCCUGUGCUUCGUCCUCACCCGCACCUGCCGUCUUCUCCCUGGGCGCGCCGACCGACCGCGCCGCACCCGAGCGCCCCUCUCCUGGUCCCGUGCCGCACUGCCCUGCAGAUUUGGAGACGAUAUCGAUAUGAUGACCGUCAGCGCAACUUAGUUGGAGGUAGCCCGAAGAUGGGCGUAAUUAACCGGAGAUGCUUCACGAAGCCUCGAGAACCAAGACGAAGCAAUCGUCAAAUCAUAUCAUACAAUCAGAUUAGCGUGUGUUAUGGAGUGACAUGUAUAAUGAAAUAAACUUGUACUUUAUGAUUUUGAUGAUGAAUCAAUAAAGUUUACAUGUUUCCAAUUAUUA